rnacentral:rRNA from 1 species
AUUGAACGCUGGCGGCAGGCUUAACACAUGCAAGUCGAGCGGAGAGAGGUAGCUUGCUACUGAUCUUAGCGGCGGACGGGUGAGUAAUGCUUAGGAAUCUGCCUACUAGUGGGGGACAACAUUUCGAAAGGAAUGCUAAUACCGCAUACGUCCUACGGGAGAAAGCAGGGGAUCUUCGGACAUUGCGCUAAUAGAUGAGCCUAAGUCGGAUUAGCUAGUUGGUGGGGUAAGGGCCUACCAAGGCGACGAUCUGUAGCGGGUCUGAGAGGAUGAUCCGCCACACUGGGACUUAGACACGGCCCAGAAUCCUACGGGAGGCAGCAGUGGGGAAUAUUGGACAAUGGGCGGAAGCCUGAUCUAGCCAUGCCGCGUGUGUGAAGAAGGCCUUAUGGUUGUAAAGCACUUUAAGCGAGGAGGAGGCUACUUUAGUUAAUACCUAGAGAUAGUGGACGUUACUCGCAGAAUAAGCACCGGCUAACUCUGUGCCAGCCGCCGCUGUAAAAC